UACGGGGGGGGCAAGCGUUGUUCGGAAUUACUGGGCGUAAAGGGCUCGUAGGCGGCCAACUAAGUCAGACGUGAAAUCCCUCGGCUUAACCGGGGAACUGCGUCUGAUACUGGAUGGCUUGAGAUUGGGAGAGGGAUGCGGAAUUCCAGGUGUAGCGGUGAAAUGCGUAGAUAUCUGGAGGAACACCGGUGGCGAAGGCGGCAUCCUGGACCGGCAUUGACGCUGAGGCGCGAAAGCGUGGGGAGCAAACAGG
rnacentral:rRNA from 1 species